GAGUGGCUACCCUGCCAACCUGGGCUCGCACCAAAACUCCACCGAGCAGGCUCUCCACACUAAGGCUGCACUUUUUGGACCAGGACUUCACUGCGUCUCUUUAAGACGUUUAGACCAGAGGCUCUAGGCGUCCAGGCAGCAGUCACAAACAGCAGAAAGCUAACAGCAUUUUAAGG